GGAUUUCCCUAGUAACGGCGAGCGAACCGGAAAGAGCCCAGCUUGAAAAUCGUGGUGCCUCGCACCUCGAGUUGUAGUCUGGAGAAGGUCCCUCUGCGGCGCGCCGGACCCAAGUUCCCUGGAAAGGGACGUCAUCGAGGGUGACAACCCCGUCCGCGCCCGGAACGCGUCGCUCCACGAGGACCUGUCUGCGAGUCGGGCUGUUUGGGAAUGCAGCCCUAAUCGGGAGGUAAAUUCCUUCUAAGGCUAAAUAUGGGCAAGAGACCGAUAGCGAACAAGUACCGCGAGGGAAAGAUGAAAAGGACUUUGAAAAGAGAGUUAAAAAGUGCUUGAAAUUGCUGGGAGGGAAGCGAAUGGAAGCUGCGGGUGCGCCCCGGUUGGAUGUGGAACGGCUUCGGCUGGUCCGCCGCUCAACGCGGGGCGCUGGUCAGCGUGGGCCGCGGCGCCGGGACAAGAGCGGGGAUUCGCUUCCCGCCUAUGCCGGUGCGGUGGCCGAGGAACGAAGCGCGCGCCCUUCGGGGCGUGGGUUCGCCCAACUGCGCGCUCGGGACGCUGGCGUAUUGAGCUCUUCAUCCGACCCGUCUUGAAACACGGACCAAGGAGUCUAACAUGUAUGCGAGCCGGUGGGCGGCAAACCCAUUGAGGCGCAAGUAAACUGACAGGUGGGACCCCGACCGCGAGGGAGGGAGCACCAUCGACCGACCGUGAUCUUCUGUGAAAGGUUUGAGUGUGAGCAUACCUGUUGGGACCCGAAAGAUGGUGAACUAUGCCUGAGCAGGGCGAAGCCAGAGGAAACUCUGGUGGAGGCUCGUAGCGAUACUGACGUGCAAAUCGUUCGUCAGACUUGGGUAUAGGGGCGAAAGACUAAUCGAACCAUCUAGUAGCUGGUUCCCUCCGAAGUUUCCCUCAGGAUAGCUGGAGCUCGUGUACAAGUUUUAUCAGGUAAAGCGAAUGAUUAGAGGCAUCGGGGGUGUAACACCCUCGACCUAUUCUCAAACUUUAAAUAGGUAAGCCGCCGGGGUUGCUUGGUUGAACCCCGGCACAGA
rnacentral:rRNA from 1 species